rfam:Gossypium hirsutum cultivar TM-1 chromosome 6, whole genome shotgun sequence
ACCACCCGUCACACUAUGGAAGUUGGCCAUGCUCAAAGUCGUUACCUUAAUCGUAAGGAGGAGGAUGCCAAAGGCAAGGCUAGUGACUGGAGUGAAGUCGUAAUAAGGUAGUCGUAAUAGAAGGUGCAGCUG